CAUGACUGCAUUUUAUUCAGCUCAUCUUCAGACUAAAAGUUUACAGUUCUAGCUCGACUCCAGGCAUCUGCAGAACCAUGGCUACUUUAGUCAACAUUGAAUAUUGUAAAGGAUGAGGUUACGGGUACCGCUACCAGGAACUGGCCGCUGUCCUCCGGCAGGUUCCUGGUGUGCAGGUGACAGGAGCCAAAGGGAGGACAGGCAGCUUUGAGGUGUCAGUGAAUGGUCAGCUGAUCUACUCCAAGCUUGAGAUGGGAGGGUUUCCUGUUACUGAACAGAUGGUGGAGAUGGUGACGCAGGUUGCUAAUGGAGGAAAAGUGGAGAAAGCUUCAAAGCCAGCAAAUCGUAAGAACAGAUGCUGUAACCAUUAGAAGAUGGAGGAUAAAAUAUCAGCUGUAUGAACAAUAGUUUGUCUCAAAAUCAAAACAUCCAAAUCUCACUGUCAGCCAUAGAAGAAGAUCAGAUCAUCAUCUUCACUGUGAAUACUGACAAAAACAAGAAGAUGAUGAGAGCAAAUCUGAGGAGCCAGGCACUGAUCUGCACUUCUGUUUAUGAAUGUUCACGCUGAAAAACAUGUAACAGUUAGCGUGCACACGAUGCAAGUUUGGAAGCUUUUCAGCUGACUGGAGCCUGAGGAGCUGCUCUCAUCAUGUCUGCCUGGCAUGUGCUGAUACAUAAAACAUCUCUACAGCUGCAUUUACUCAGGUGAUCAAAAAAUGUGAGUCUUUAUCAAGCCACAUAUACAGUAUAUUAUAUUUCAUUGAGCUUCUCUUUGUUUAGAUUAAGUUUCAGGUCUGUGUUUAGUUUGGCCUUUUUUAGAAUAUCUAUUUGCUUUCAUGCCUAGAGUUAGUACUGAGAGGCUGUCUGUUACAGAAGCUACAGCUAGCAGAUGCUUAGCUUAGCAUAAAGACUGGAAACAGGAAAACUAUAAAGCCCACUAAUUAGCCCAUUAUAUGUUGUUUGUUUAUUCUGUACAAAAACCCAAGUGUAAAAAAGCCAGUUUUCUGUUUGAUAACGUUUAUGUGCCGGACAAUUUUUAAAUUUCAAUCCUCAGCAAGAAAAUUAAUCAAUGUAUGUAUACAUAUCAAAUCUAUUUUAUAUUCAUACUUGCCAUAUAUGCCCUACUUUCUCAAAUAUAUACCUGUACUUUUACCUGGAUGGUGUUUGUUCGAAAGAGCUAAGUACUGUGUUUAUGCUGCCAUCUUUGUUACUAUUCUGACAUUUUAGAUAAACAUUAAAUCAUCAUUACAUAUUUGAACUUUUUAAAUAACUUAUUGUAUUGUUAUACUGUUUUUAUCAUUUGUAAUCAAUUUCAACAAAAACAUUUUCCUACUAUACAA